rnacentral:lncRNA from 1 species
CUGGAAAUCUUUCUGCCCUACAGCUGCUCUGAAGAGUAAGUUAAUGACAUAUGAACAAACCCUUACAUGCCUCAGGAGCCCUGUUAGAACUGUGAAUUGCAAACAGUAUUUGCAAGUGAGCUGGCUGGGCUCUGUGCCUGUUUUCUGGAAGGCAGUACACCCCUGAAGUCCAGCUCCAGGCUCCCCUGGAGGGCCUCUGGCUGUCACCCACGAUGCAGGAAGAAGUGGCUCUGAAAAUCUUAAUCUUGUGUUUUGUUUUGUUUUGUUUUUUUCCGAGAAGUAAGAGGAAGAUCUGAAAUAGGCCUGGCAGCUUGAUUGGGGUUGGCUGAUUCUGCCAACAAUAUGUAAAAUGUGUUUUUCAAGGAUAAGAAGUUUGGGCCCUAGACAAACAAAGCUCCUGUCUGCCAUCAGCAAGAAGAUACAAGAUCUCUGUGACCCCACUAUGCUGUUUACCUUUGUUCUUAAACAGGAGUCUGCCUUCCGCAGACCCAGGGCUGCUCUCCCUUUAACAGAACCCCAUUGCCUGCUGGGUGUGACCAUGCCAACCUCCAGUGAGGUGAGACUCCACAAGGCUUCCAUUCUUGGCAGCUAAGCUUUCAUUGUUGCUUAAGAGAACCUUGUAAUGAGGAAUAUAGCUGAUGUUCAAGAAAUGUGUGAUGAAAGAGUGAAAGAAUUCCAGACACUGAUGUUGCAGGGACCACUUGCCAGACUCUGGGCAAAGGACAAGGGAGAGCCAGCUGCCUUGCACAUCUUGUGGCACAAGGAGCACUCCAAUUCUGGAACAUGCACUGCUCAGUCACUCUAGGACAUUAAACCAGAGGCUUUGAAUUUCCAUCCCAGUUAUGACCCAGCACUUCAGCAUACUCUGAGGAACAUCGGACAAGCCAACAAACUCUCACCCCCAGGGCUGUAUUGACUCAUCCCCAGGGCUGAAGAGUUCACAUCCAAACUCAGAAAGUCUGGAUUCUGGAGUUGCAGAGAUCCCAAAAGGCUUCUGGGGGCAACUGAAAGCUAGAAUGUCACUCUGGCUUUAUCCCCUUCCUAUUCCUGAGGCUGUAUGGCCACUGGGGACACCAGUUAAAACACACAGCAAGCAGAAUCUGCCCACUGGGUUUUCAGGGAAAUAAAUCCAAAGCUUUCACUGCUUCAGAAGUAGUUUAUUAGGCA